rnacentral:rRNA from 1 species
CAACGUUAAUCGACGCAGGGUUAGUCGGUCCCUAAGGCGAGGCUGAAAAGCGUAGUCGAUGGAAAACAGGUUAAUAUUCCUGUACUUCUGGUUAUUGCGAUGGAGGGACGGAGAAGGCUAGGCCAGCUUGGCGUUGGUUGUCCAAGUUUAAGGUGGUAGGCUGGAAUCUUAGGUAAAUCCGGGAUUCUAAGGCCGAGAGCUGAUGACGAGUUAUCUUUUAGAUGACGAAGUGGUUGAUGCCAUGCUUCCAAGAAAAGCUUCUAAGCUUCAGGUAACCAGGAACCGUACCCCAAACCGACACAGGUGGUUGGGUAGAGAAUACCAAGGCGCUUGAGAGAACUCGGGUGAAGGAACUAGGCAAAAUGGCACCGUAACUUCGGGAGAAGGUGCGCCGGUGAGGGUGAAGGACUUGCUCCGUAAGCUCAUGCCGGUCGAAGAUACCAGGCCGCUGCGACUGUUUAUUAAAAACACAGCACUCUGCAAACACGAAAGUGGACGUAUAGGGUGUGACGCCUGCCCGGUGCCGGAAGGUUAAU